rnacentral:rRNA from 1 species
UUGACCUCAAAUCAGGUAGGACUACCCGCUGAACUUAAGCAUAUCAAUAAGCGGAGGAAAAGAAACUAACAAGGAUUCCCCUAGUAACUGCGAGUGAAGCGGGAAAAGCUCAAAUUUGAAAUCUGGCAGCUCUUUGAACUGUCCGAGUUGUAAUCUAGAGAAGUGUUACCUGUGUUGGACCGUGUACAAGUCUCCUGGAAUGGAGCGUCACAGAGGGUGAGAAUCCCGUCUUUGACACGGACUGCCUGCACGUUAUGGUGCGCUCUCAAAGAGUCGAGUUGUUUGGGAAUGCAGCUCAAAAUGGGUGGUAAAUGCCAUCUAAAGCUAAAUAUUGGCGAGAGACCGAUAGCGAACAAGUACCGUGAGGGAAAGAUGAAAAGAACUUUGGAAAGAGAGUUAAACAGUACGUGAAAUUGCUGAAAGGGAAACGCUUGAAGUCAGUCGCGUCGGCUAGAAAUCAACCUUGCUUUUGCUUGGUGUACUUUCUUGUUGACGGGUCAGCAUCAAUUUUGACCGUCGGAUAAAGUCAUUGGGAAUGUGGCAUCUUAGGAUGUGUUAUAGCCCAUUGUCGCAUACGACGGUUGGGAUUGAGG